GUAAGAUGAUCGUGGCGGGGCGCAAAUCUUUUUGUCUGAUACAGUCUGCCGCUGUUAUGGUGAUUGUGUUGUUCAUGCAUAUAUUACUUAACUGUGCGAUGUUGCUUGAUCAUAGCAAACAGGACGGCGCAUGUAAACCGCUGGUCGGCUGCAGGGUGCUCAUUUUAAUGUGAUUACAUGUUAGCGCAUGUCGCUCGGCGGAUGAAGAAAGAGUUUAUCGCGAUCAUCUCUUCACUCAGACAGAUGACGCACCUGUGCUCACGUGAGCACGGUUUCUCAUUAACCCCGUGAACUCGUGCUGCAGUGUGACUAUCUGUCUGGACUGUGUACAGCGCGGUUAAAAGCGUGCAGCCAUGCGACAGGACGCCUGCUGUUUAUCCGCAAUUUAAGGCAGGAGGAUAACAUUUCUGAAGUCUUCCGAUGACCUCUUGGAGCUGUCACAGAUGCAGCUACACUUAAAGGUGAUACCUGUGUUCUGCGGUUGUGCUGCCGUGCUGACGCGUAACGUCUGACUCUUCUCAAAGCUUUACCCAAGUGCUGGAGCGAGACAUUGGAUGUAUUAGGACAGCUGCCUCCAUUUUAGGGAGGAGUUUUGCAGAGGAAGAUGGAUACCCUUUCCACAGUACCAGAAUUUGCAGCGUGAAUCAGUUCUGACUUGAGGCAUCGCCUGCAAUGUUUAGCUAUGUGUUGUCAUUCGAUAUUCAUUUGUUACCCGAAUGUGAUACAUUUUCCCGAAAUUUACUUCGAUUGCAUUUGUUGUGUUUAUAGGAGAUUAAAUGGAAUAUAGUCUAGCUAGUUUACCCUUCUCAAAUUGAAGCAAAUGCGCUUUUUUUAUAGUUCUACUUUUGAUUUUCUGCAUAGGUGUUAUUGUUACAUUUUUAGAUCUUCCUUUUUUUUCUGACCACGCACCGAAAGAUUUUAAUCUGCUUUUUAAAUGCAUUUCUGAUUUUGAUAUAAGUAACAUAUUUGCUAGUUAGUUAGAAAAAAAAAAUCAUAAUAUCCAAUUAAAAUGGUGCCUUCAGGCCCUCGGGAUUUUACUGGUAAAUGAUGAUGUGCUCUAAUCCGCUGUGAAAUGUUAUUUGUUUUAUUUUAUUGUAUAUUACCCAGGCAAAUAACUAUGCUGUGUUUAGUUUUUUCUUUUUUUUAAACCCCGGGUAGUGAAUUAGACCGAUACCUAAAAUGCCAGAUUCCUUUGACCCUAAAAUGCAUUAAAUUACAGAUUGCUUUAGCAAGAUUAAACCAUUUAUUUUUUUGUUUUGUCCAAAAUGUUAGUCCUUUGAAUGUGUCCUUAAUUCUAUGUAUUUAUUAAAGCAUUCAUUUCAAAUUCUUUAUAUGUUCUCCUGCGUUAGAAUAUUCUGUUAAAUGAUUCUUAUCUCUGUCAUUAGUUAGUAUCUCUAAAAACGAUUGUUUCACUGUGUCUCAGUAUUUGUGUUGUGAACAGGGCAAAUAAAAAUACGUGCACAUUUUGUAGUAAAUGUUCAUUGAAGCAAAUAUAUUAAGCAAGAAAGAAUAUAUGUUGAAAAUGUUUUCACAUUAUUUUUGAAGCAUUCCCGUGAUUGUUAAAAUGAUUGUUUUGUCAGUUUAUGUAAAUACAGUAGUGGUUAUUAUUAACGUUAAAUAAAAGUAUUUUAAAUUGCUUUUAUUAAUCCGUGUUGUCUUGUAUUCAUGAUGUAAAUUUAAGUUUGACUGUUUUAUCGUAAGUAUUGUGUUUAUUGUUAUAAUUGUAAUAAAAACAUUCUUUUAAUUUCUUUGAUAUAACAGUGUCUAUUUGUAUUGCUAAAAAAACAAUUGAUGGAUUCAUGUGAUGCAAAUAUGAUAUGAACGAGACUGGUUUGAAGUGUAGAG
ensembl:lncRNA